UACGGAGGGCUCAAGCGUUGUUCGGAUUUACUGGGCGUAAAGGGUGCGUAGGCGGCUCGGUAAGUCGGUUGUGAAAUCUUGGAGCUUAACUCCGAAACUGCAUUCGAUACUGCCGUGCUUGAGGACUGGAGAGGAGACUGGAAUUUACGGUGUAGCGGUGAAAUGCGUAGAUAUCGUAAGGAAGACCAGUGGCGAAGGCGGGUCUCUGAACAGUUCCUGACGCUGAGGCACGAAGGCCAGGGGAGCAAACGGG
rnacentral:rRNA from 1 species